rnacentral:rRNA from 1 species
UACGUAGGGGGCAAGCGUUGUCCGGAUUUAUUGGGCGUAAAGAGCGUGUAGGCGGCCUGAAAGGUCAGCUGUGAAAACUCGAGGCUCAACCUCGAGACGUCGGUUGAAACCAUCUGGCUAGAGUCCGGAAGAGGAGUGUGGAAUUCCCGGUGUAGCGGUGAAAUGCGUAGAUAUCAGGAGGAACACCUGUGGCGAAAGCGGCGCACUGGACCACAACUGACGCUGAGGCGCGAAAGCUAGGGGAGCAAACAGG